UAUUUGCAACCUGUAUUCAUAUUUGUAACAUUUAAAAUUCUGUGUUUUGAAAUAUAAUUUUCAAGAUCAGAUUUUAUGUCUUCGUUUGGUUCUUUUGGGUUCAAAAUUUUGAUCAAGUAAGUCAAAGUUAAAAAUGUAUUAUCAGGACAUAUAGGUGAGAUUGCGCUGAAAGAACUGAUACCAACAUGGCAUGGUAAAGAUUUUUAACAGAUUUUUUAAAGGACAUAAUAGCGAAAGAUUUCAGAGGGUUAAAUAGUGGUGAAAAGUAAAAGUACGUUUACUCAACUUCAGUUUUAAGGUACUGAUGCUUCGGAAAAAUAAAUGCAUGUAUGUAUGAUUGGGUUACUAACGAAUUAAAGAUAGAGUAUACACAGUAAAUAUACAUUUUAGCAUUAGAAAAGAGAAUAUAUCAAUAGAAAAUAAACAACAAAUGAAGUAAAAAAAUUUAAAAGAGCUCCAUACAGAAAUUAAAAAAAAAACUUUAGCAUAGUGUAUAAAUAAAAUAUAUGCUGUGUUUCCUAUACUUGUUCUCUUGUGGAAUAUAGAGGAAAUUGCAUUUUUUGUUAACUCACUAACUAUAUUUCACACUAAUUUACAGAUUAAGAUGCCAUAUACCUAACCUGUGAGUUUCUGCAUUACUACUAAAUUAGGGGUAUUUCCAAUCUGAAGGCCAGGACCCUCCUGGUUGUAAAACCUGAUUAAAGGGGCUGUAAAAACACGUGAUACUUUACUCUGAGGCAUCUGACCAUAUUUAAAUUAAACAAACUGAACGAUCUAACUGUUUACAACGUGGGUCCCCACUAUAGCUAUAACCUAUGACUCUUAAGUAGCCUAAUGAUUUAUUUUAUUUUCACAGUAAUGAUGUGCAGGUUGGGACAGAGUCAAGAUCAGGCCUGCAGGAGGGGCUGUAGGCCAAGUUAGGAAGCAGUCCAUGGACUUAUCACUCCAGGCCAUUGACUUCCGUUUUGCAAGUUCCAUCCAGGAUGGCUGGCCGCUGUCAGACAUGGACUGCAGCGCUGACGGCAUUAGGCGUGGGUUUGAUGGAGGCAGAAGAUUCAUCUGAUGUCUGCACCUCUGUUUGAGCUUUCUUCAAUUCCACCUGAAAAAACUGUGAGUCAGAUCAUCUGCUCUGGAUAAACUGUCAGUCUGAAAUUGUCAGUAGUUAAAGGGUAAAUCUAUUAAUAUUCUAUAUUUCAUUAAUUAUCAAGAAAUCCCAUGAAAAGCAAUCAAAAACAGCAAGAAUUAUCUGUGUACAGCUUAUUCCUUCACACCAUUGUUUUCCAAAAUCGAUUAAAAACACAUGAGCUUAGUAUGAAACAAGGGCACUGUACUUUACUUUGAGUUAACACCACACAAUGUCCUGCUGCUGUAAAUACUCAAUAGUGUACCAAAGCUGUGGCUAUAAAUAGUCUCUACAAAUGCGCUGUUUACUUCUGAUUGAGUGAUGUUUGCUAAACAUUUUAGGAGAUUACUGAGUCUUUAAAAACAUUAAAUUAUGUUGAAGGCCUGAGGCAGGGUAUAGAGGUCAUAUGCAGGUUUUUUAAACAGCUAAAGACUACUUUCUACUUUCUACUAUUGCCAGUUAUAUUUUUCUCUGUUUAACAUCACAUUUGAUGUCAUGCAUGUGCUGAAAAAAAAGAACUGGCCAAUCGGUCCAACGAGGGUUCAGGGUCGUUCAUACCAAUAGACCGAAAGCCCAUUCAUCCCAUGAUCUGUUAUACUGAAAACAAUAGCCCACUGCUCCAAAGACCCAUUGCUCUGAAAACACACCAAACUCUGAUUUUUCUUUUCAGCUGAUAUUUAACUGAAUUUGUCUUUUGUCUUGGGAAUAAAUGGCGAUUGUAACAUUUCCUUCUAAAGACAAAAGCCAGACGUUUGUGUGUGUCGGUGGGUUUUUUGUCCCGCAGGAAAGGUGUUUUGUUGAUCUUAACUUUUUCAUGGGAUUUGCUGACAAUGAGAAAAGUAUAGAAUAUCUUCAGCCUUAUCUUUGAAUUGAUUUACAGCUGAAUGCAGUAUGAAAGGCAGCUACAAAGAAGUACCACAAACCCCCUUGGUUCCAGGUGGAGCUGUCCACUCUGCCCGUUUCUCCAAAAAAGCAGCCUUCCCGCUCACUGAUCCGGCCCAAACUGCCCGUCUUCCUGUCUGUGAUGCACCCUCUUUUUCCUGCACGGUGGCUUCUCUUUCCCCUCUUCCCAAGGCAGAC